AGGUUAAGUUAGUAAGGGCGCACGGUGAAUGCCUUGGCACUAGGAGCCGAUGAAGGACGGGACUAACACCGAUAUGCUUCGGGGAGCUGUAAGCGAGCUUUGAUCCGGAGAUUUCCGAAUGGGGGAACCCACUGCCCGUAAUGGGGUAGUAUCCUUACUUGAAUACAUAGAGUAAGGAAGGCAGACCCGGGGAACUGAAACAUCUAAGUACCCGGAGGAAGAGAAAGCAAUUGCGAUUUCCUGAGUAGCGGCGAGCGAAACGGAAGAAGCCCAAACCAAGAGGCUUGCCUCUUGGGGUUGUAGGACACUCUAUACGGAGUUACAAAGGAACGGAGUAAAUGAAGAGGUCUGGAAAGGCCCGUCAAAGAAGGUAACAACCCUGUAGUUGAAACUUCGUUCCCUCCAGAGUGGAUCCUGAGUACGGCGGGACACGUGAAAUCCCGUCGGAAGCAGGGAGGACCAUCUCCCAAGGCUAAAUACUCCCUAGUGACCGAUAGUGAACCAGUACCGUGAGGGAAAGGUGAAAAGCACCCCGG
rnacentral:rRNA from 1 species